CCUGGACCCCCCCAGCAUAGGCUGUGGCCCAAAAUUGGCACUACCUUUGGAGGGAGCAGUUAGACCAGAGGACUCCUGGGCUCCCACCUUCAAAUAUACACCCCUACCUCUGUGGUUCUCCUGCAGCCCUCCUGCCUCUCCUUCCCAGGAACAAGAUGGAAUUGGGCCCCCUGAUCCCCCGGCUGCCCAGGAUCUGUAGGACCCCCAGGACCUCAGGUCUACUCUGGUCUUGAAGUGCUCUCAGUACCACCCUGGAUGCUCAGGAGCUUGUGGGAUCCCAGGAACCCUGGACACACCAGGGCUUCCUAGACCCCAAGGCUAUUCCGAACCAACAGGGUUGCUGGGCCCAGACAAGUUCCUGGGAAUCCAUGGAGCUCUGGGACUAGUGAAGCUGCUGGGCCAGAGUCUUCUCCAAGACAAGUCCACCUGAGUCUGCAGAUGGAAGAUUCUGACACAGAGUCCCUCAGUGAUGACCUUCCAUAUUCUACAGUGACCAGGUAAAACAUACUACGGAUAAGCAUUCAGGUAGCCUGAGGACCAUGAAGAUACUCAAUCCAGGCCAGAUGCAGUGGCUCAUGCCUAUAAUUCCAGCACUCUCAAAGGCUGAAGCAGGAGGAU